AUUGAACGCUGGCGGCAUGCUUUACACAUGCAAGUCGAACGGUAACAGGCCGCAAGGUGCUGACGAGUGGCGAACGGGUGAGUAAUGCAUCGGAACGUGCCCAGUCGUGGGGGAUAACGCAGCGAAAGCUGUGCUAAUACCGCAUACGAUCUAUGGAUGAAAGCGGGGGACCGUAAGGCCUCGCCAGAUUGCAGCGGCCGAUGUCAGGUUAGGUAGUUGGUGGGGUAAAGGCCUACCAAGCCGACGAUCUGUAGCUGGUCUGAGAGGACGACCAGCCACACUGGGACGGAGACACGGCCCAGACUCCUACGGGAGGCAGCAGUGGGGAAUUUUGGACAAUGGGCGCAAGCCUGAUCCAGCAAUGCCGCGUGCAGGAAGAAGGCCUUCGGGUUGUAAACUGCUUUUGUACGGAACGAAACGGUCUGGGUUAAUACCCUGGGCUAAUGACGGUACCGUAAGAAUAAGCACCGGCUAACUACGUGCCAGCCGCCGCUGUAACAC
rnacentral:rRNA from 1 species